rnacentral:rRNA from 1 species
CCGUGACCCUUAAACAAAACAGACCGCGAACGAGUCACCCGUGCCGCCGGGCUCCGGCCCGGCACGCUGCCCCCCCCCCCGAACCUCCCGCGGGGAAGGGGGGGCCGCGAAAAAGAACCCACGGCGCCCCGGGCGCCAAGGAACACCAGUACUACCUCCUGCCCCGCGGAGCGGUCGGCCCGCCUUCCGCUCCCCGGGCAGCGGCUACACCUUAAUCGACACGACUCUCGGCAACGGAUAUCUCGGCUCUCGCAUCGAUGAAGAACGUAGCAAAAUGCGAUACCUGGUGUGAAUUGCAGAAUCCCGCGAACCAUCGGGUUUUUGAACGCAAGUUGCGCCUGAAGCCUUCUGGCGGAGGGCACGUCUGCCUGGGCGUCACGCCAAAAGACACUCCCAACACCCCCCCCGCGGGGCGAGGGACGUGGCGUCUGGCCCCCCGCGCCGCAGGGCGAGGUGGGCCGAAGCAGGGGCUACCGGCGAACCGCGUCGGGCGCAGCACGUGGUGGGCGACAUCAAGUUGUUCUCGGUGCAGCGCCCCGGCGCGCGGCCGGCCAUUCGGCCCUAAGGACCCAUCGAGCGACCGAGCUUGCCCUCGGACC